GACGAACGCUGGCGGCGUGCUUAACACAUGCAAGUCGAACGGAAAGGCCCUGCUUUUGUGGGGUGCUCGAGGGGCGAACGGGUGAGUAACACGUGAGUAACCUGCCCUUGACUUUGGGAUAACUUCAGGAAACUGGGGCUAAUACCGGAUAGGAGCUCCUGCUGCAUGGUGGGGGUUGGAAAUUCUCGGCGGGUGGGGAUGGACUCGCGGCUUACCAGCUUGUUGGUGGGGUAGUGGCUGACCAAGCCUUUGACGGGUAGCCGGCCGGGGAGGGUAGACGGGCACAUUGGGACUGAGGUACGGACCAGACUCGUACAGGGGGCAGCAGUGGGGAAUAUUGCACAGUGAGCGGAAGCCUGAUACAGCGACGCCGCGUGCGGGAUGACCGCCUUCGGGUUGUAAACCGCUUUCGGCUGUGACGAAGCGUGAGUGACGGUAAUGGGUAAAGAAGCACCGGCUAACUACGUG
rnacentral:rRNA from 1 species